CAUGCCUCUAGCAUCGCUCACAGCCAUCCACUAGAGGCGCUUCCAACGAAAUGGCCAACUGAAAUGCAGCCAUUUCUAACAGACAGUCUUACUGAGACCAUCCAAUUGGUGCAGCACAGCGUCCUCACUGGUAUCCCAAUUCUUUCCUAUGGGAAAACACUGGAUUAUCUCAGCCAGGGAGGCGAGAUGCUGUGAGAGAGAAAGAAAAGGUAAG